AUUGAACGCUGGCGGCAGGCUUAACACAUGCAAGUCGAGCGGAGAUGAGGUGCUUGCACCUUAUCUUAGCGGCGGACGGGUGAGUAAUGCUUAGGAAUCUGCCUAUUAGUGGGGGACAACAUUCCGAAAGGAAUGCUAAUACCGCAUACGUCCUACGGGAGAAAGCAGGGGAUCUUCGGACCUUGCGCUAAUAGAUGAGCCUAAGUCGGAUUAGCUAGUUGGUGGGGUAAAGGCCUACAAAGGCGACGAUCUGUAGCGGGUCUGAGUGGAUGAUCCGCCACACUGGGACUGAGACACGGCCCAGACUCCUACGGGAGGCAGCAGUGGGGAAUAUUGGACAAUGGGGGGAACCCUGAUCCAGCCAUGCCGCGUGUGUGAAGAAGGCCUUAUGGUUGUAAAGCACUUUAAGCGAGGAGGAGGCUACUGAGACUAAUACUCUUGGAUAGUGGACGUUACUCGCAGAAUAAGCACCGGCUAACUCUGUGCCAGCAGCCGCCGUAAAAC
rnacentral:rRNA from 1 species